UACGAAGGGGGCUAGCGUUGUUCGGAAUUACUGGGCGUAAAGCGCGCGCAGGCGGUCUUCCAAGUCAGUGGUGAAAGCCCGGAGCUCAACUCCGGAACUGCCAUUGAAACUGUGAGACUUGAGGAUGAGAGAGGUGAGUGGAAUUCCCAGUGUAGAGGUGAAAUUCGUAGAUAUUGGGAAGAACACCGGUGGCGAAGGCGGCUCACUGGCUCAUUUCUGACGCUCAGGCGCGACAGCGUGGGGGAUCAAACAGG
rnacentral:rRNA from 1 species